ACAAGCGAGAAAAACAACCGUCA
rnacentral:siRNA from 1 species